rnacentral:rRNA from 1 species
AGUGAACGCUGGCGGUAGGCCUAACACAUGCAAGUCGAACGGCAGCACAGUAGGAGCUUGCUCUUACGGGUGGCGGGUGGCGGACGGGUGAGGAAUACAUCGGAAUCUACUUUUUCGUGGGGGAUAACGUAGGGAAACUUACGCUAAUACCGCAUACGACCUACGGGUGAAAGCAGGGGAUCUUCGGACCUUGCGCGAUUGAAUGAGCCGAUGUCGGAUUAGCUAGUUGGCGGGGUAAAGGCCCACCAAGGCGACGAUCCGUAGCUGGUCUGAGAGGAUGAUCAGCCACACUGGAACUGGGACACGGUCCAGACUCCUACGGGAGGCAGCAGUGGGGAAUAUUGGACAAUGGGCGCAAGCCUGAUCCAGCCAUACCGCGUGGGUGAAGAAGGCCUUCGGGUUGUAAAGCCCUUUUGUUGGGAAAGAAAAGCAGCAGGUUAAUACCCCGCUGUUCUGACGGUACCCAAAGAAUAAGCACCGGCUAACUUCGUG